AGAGUUUGAUCCUGGCUCAGGAUGAACGCUAGCGGCAGGCCUAACACAUGCAAGUCGAGCGGGAUCCACCUUCGGGUGGUGAGAGCGGCGCACGGGUGCGUAACGCGUAUACAACCUACCUUUUGCUACGGGAUAGCCCAGAGAAAUUUGGAUUAACACCGUAUAGUAUAGAGACCUGGCAUCAGGAUUUUAUUAAAGGCUACGGCAAAAGAUGGGUAUGCGUCCUAUUAGCUAGAUGGUGCGGUAACGGCGUACCAUGGCAACGAUAGGUAGGGGCCCUGAGAGGGGGAUCCCCCACACUGGUACUGAGACACGGACCAGACUCCUACGGGAGGCAGCAGUGAGGAAUAUUGGACAAUGGGCGCAAGCCUGAUCCAGCCAUGCCGCGUGCAGGAAGACUGCCCUAUGGGUUGUAAACUGCUUUUAUACGGGAAGAAACACCCCCUCGUGAGGGGGCUUGACGGUACCGUAGGAAUAAGGAUCGGCUAACUCCGUGCCAGCAGCCGCGGUAAUACGGAGGAUCCAAGCGUUAUCCGGAAUCAUUGGGUUUAAAGGGUCCGUAGGUGGACGAUUAAGUCAGGGGUGAAAGUCUGCAGCUCAACUGUAGAAUUGCNCUUGAUACUGGUCGUCUUGAGUUACUAUGAAGUGGUUAGAAUAUGUGGUGUAGCGGUGAAA
rnacentral:rRNA from 1 species